AGCGAACGCUGGCGGCAUGCCUAAUACAUGCAAGUCGAACGAGAUCUUCGGAUCUAGUGGCGCACGGGUGCGUAACGCGUGGGAAUCUGCCCUUGGGUUCGGAAUAACUUCUGGAAACGGAAGCUAAUACCGGAUGAUGACGUAAGUCCAAAGAUUUAUCGCCCAAGGAUGAGCCCGCGUAGGAUUAGGUAGUUGGUGAGGUAAAGGCUCACCAAGCCGACGAUCCUUAGCUGGUCUGAGAGGAUGAUCAGCCACACUGGGACUGAGACACGGCCCAGACUCCUACGGGAGGCAGCAGUAGGGAAUAUUGGACAAUGGGCGAAAGCCUGAUCCAGCAAUGCCGCGUGAGUGAUGAAGGCCUUAGGGUUGUAAAGCUCUUUUACCCGGGAUGAUAAUGACAGUACCGGGAGAAUAAGCUCCGGCUAACUCCGUG
rnacentral:rRNA from 1 species